UCGCACUAGACGGAGAGAUAGCGGUGCUCUGUAACCUGCAAUCCGCUAUAGCAGGGUUGAAUUCCUCAAAAAGGGUGGUUGAUUCUGGGUCUGCCAUCGGAAAGUGGUGUUGACGACCGGACCCUACGCAACAGAACCUCGGGAACCCCGUCAGGUCAGGAAUGAAGCAGCGGUAACCGGGACAUUCUGUGUGCCGAAGGACUCUCUGGUAAGAGCUAACUAUCGGUGUAACGCCGGAAGAGGUCAUUCGAUGCGAGGUGUGCGA
rnacentral:SRP_RNA from 1 species